rnacentral:rRNA from 1 species
UACGUAGGGGGCUAGCGUUGUCCGGAAUCAUUGGGCGUAAAGCGCGUGUAGGCGGCCCGGUAAGUCCGCUGUGAAAGUCGGGGGCUCAACCCUCGAAAGCCGGUGGAAACUGUCGGGCUAGAGUGCGGAAGAGGCGAGUGGAAUUCCUGGUGUAGCGGUGAAAUGCGCAGAUAUCAGGAGGAACACCAAUUGCGAAGGCAGCUCGCUGGGACGUUACUGACGCUGAGACGCGAAAGCGUGGGGAGCAAACAGG